UACGGAGGGUGCAAGCGUUAUCCGGAUUCACUGGGUUUAAAGGGUGCGUAGGCGGAUAGGUAAGUCCGUGGUGAAAUCCUGCAGCUUAACUGCAGAACUGCCGUGGAUACUAUCUAUCUUGAAUAUCGUGGAGGUUAGCGGAAUAUGUCAUGUAGCGGUGAAAUGCUUAGAUAUGACAUAGAACACCCAUUGCGAAGGCAGCUAACUACGCGAUCAUUGACGCUGAUGCACGAAAAGCGUGGGGGAUC
rnacentral:rRNA from 1 species